AACGAACGCUGGCGGCAGGCCUAACACAUGCAAGUCGAGCGAGGACUUCGGUCCUAGCGGCGGACGGGUGAGUAACGCGUGGGAACGUGCCCUUUGCUACGGAAUAGCCCCGGGAAACUGUGAGUAAUACCGUAUGUGCCCUUCGGGGGAAAGAUUUAUCGGCAAAGGAUCGGCCCGCGUUGGAUUAGGUAGUUGGUGGGGUAAUGGCCUACCAAGCCGACGAUCCAUAGCUGGUUUGAGAGGAUGAUCAGCCACACUGGGACUGAGACACGGCCCAGACUCCUACGGGAGGCAGCAGUGGGGAACCUUAGACAAUGGGGGAAACCCUGAUCUAGCCAUGCCGCGUGAGCGAUGAAGGCCUUAGGGUUGUAAAGCUCUUUCAGUGGGGAAGAUAAUGACGGUACCCACAGAAGAAGCCCCGGCUAACUCCGUGCCAGCCGCCGCCGUAACAC
rnacentral:rRNA from 1 species